CCUACGGGUGGCAGCAGUGGGGAAUAUUGGACAAUGGGCGAAAGCCUGAUCCAGCCAUGCCGCGUGUGUGAAGAAGGCCUUCGGGUUGUAAAGCACUUUCAGUGGGGAAGAAAGCCUUGGGGCUAAUACCCUCGAGGAAGGACAUCACCCACAGAAGAAGCACCGGCUAACUCCGUGCCAGCAGCCACGGUAAUACGGAGGGUGCGAGCGUUAAUCGGAAUUACUGGGCGUAAAGCGCGCGUAGGCGGUCUGAUAAGCCGGUUGUGAAAGCCCCGGGCUCAACCUGGGAACGGCAUCCGGAACUGUCAGGCUAGAGUGCAGGAGAGGAAGGUAGAAUUCCCGGUGUAGCGGUGAAAUGCGUAGAGAUCGGGAGGAAUACCAGUGGCGAAGGCGGCCUUCUGGACUGACACUGACGCUGAGGUGCGAAAGCGUGGGUAGCAAACAGGAUUAGAUACCCUGGUAGUC
rnacentral:rRNA from 1 species